AGUGAACGCUGGCGGUAGGCCUAACACAUGCAAGUCGAACGGCAGCACAGUAAGAGCUUGCUCUUACGGGUGGCGAGUGGCGGACGGGUGAGGAAUACAUCGGAAUCUACUUUUUCGUGGGGGAUAACGUAGGGAAACUUACGCUAAUACCGCAUACGACCUACGGUUGAAAGCAGGGGAUCUUCGGACCUUGCGCGAUUGAAUGAGCCGAUGUCGGAUUAGUUAGUUGGCGGGGUAAAGGCCCACCAAGGCGACGAUCCGUAGCUGGUCUGAGAGGAUGAUCAGCCACACUGGAACUGAGACACGGUCCAGACUCCUACGGGAGGCAGCAGUGGGGAAUAUUGGACAAUGGGCGCAAGCCUGAUCCAGCCAUACCGCGUGGGUGAAGAAGGCCUUCGGGUUGUAAAGCCCUUUUGUUGGGAAAGAAAAGCAGCAGGUUAAUACCCCGCUGUUCUGACGGUACCCAAAGAAUAAGCACCGGCUAACUUCGUG
rnacentral:rRNA from 1 species